rnacentral:rRNA from 1 species
UACAGAGGGUGCAAACGUUGCUCGGAAUCAUUGGGCGUAAAGCGCACGUAGGCGGCGCGUUAAGUCGGAUGUGAAAGCCCCAGGCUCAACCUGGGAAGUGCAUACGAAACUGGCGCGCUUGAGUAUGGAAGAGGGUCGCGGAAUUCCCGGUGUAGAGGUGAAAUUCGUAGAUAUCGGGAGGAACACCAGUGGCGAAGGCGAUCAUCUGGGGUUGUUCUGACGCUGAGGAGCGAAAGCUAGGGGAGCAAACGGG